GAUAAACGCUGGCGGCGUGCCUAACCCAUGCAAGUCGAGCGAUCUGUAGCAAUACAGAGAGCGGCGGAAGGGUGAGUAACACGUAGAGAUCUACCUCGACGGAGGGAACAACCCCGCGAAAGUGGGGCUAAUACCCAAAAGGAUCCGCAAGGAUCAGAGUCGCAAGGCCUGUCGAGAGGAAUCUGCGGCCCAUCAGCUAGUUGGUGAGGUAAAGGCUUACCAAGGCUACGACGGGUAGGGGGUCUGAGAGGACGUCCCCCCACACUGGAACUGAAACACGGUCCAGACGCCUACGGGUGGCAGCAGGGAGGAAUAUUGGUCAAUGGGGGAAACCCCGAACCAGCAACGCCGCGUGAGGGAAGAAGGCAUUCGUGUCGUAAACCUCUUUUAAGGGAGACGAGAAAGGACGGUAUCCCUGGAAUAAGUCACGGCUAACUACGUGCCAGCAGCCGCGGUAAUACGUAGGUGACGAGCGUUAUCCGGAUUUACUGGGCGUAAAGCGCUUGUAGGUGGCUUUGUAAGUUGGGCGUGAAAACACCGGGCUUAACUCGGUGACGCCGUCCAAUACUGCGAGGCUGGAGGAUGUC
rnacentral:rRNA from 1 species